rnacentral:lncRNA from 1 species
AGCAAUGAAAUCAGAAGAUUAAACAAGGUGAUUCUUGAUCAACUUGAUGAGGGCAAGAGGAAGCGUAGCAAAUCCAGCAAACAAAUAUGUGCAUGGAAAAGACCCCAGAUGGUCCUGUGGUUUCACUUCCUAUUUGGUUUCUGAACUCUCUGAGCACGAGACUUGGAGACGUGGAGUCCUUUCACUGCAGCUUUCAAAACCUUUCUUAGGGCUGAUAUGACAAUUGCUGGCACUGCGUAAUUGCUGUGUGGCUACUUGAAAACUUCUCCACUAGAGACUCACUGAGAGCACCUAUUCUGUUGAAUGGAUUUGGCACAAGGAGGAGGAGAGAAGACAAAUGGCCUGGGCUGAUUAGCCCAGAGACCAUGUCCCAACAAAAUGCCACCAGGAACUCAUGUGGGACGGAGCUGGAAGAUGCCAGCGGUUGCCCCUUCCCCAUGUUAGUGCCUCUUUUCUCCGCACCAACCCUCAGUUCACACCAGAAUGAGACUGCCUGCAUUCACUUUCUGCUCUUACUUCAGAGAAUGUGGCUUAUUCUCAGGCAAUGAACCAGAGGACAACAGACAUUUUCUUUGAGGGAAAUGCAACUUUUUGAAAUUAAAAGGGCAUUUUGUUUUAAUUGAAGAACAUUCAGAUCAGAAACUGGGUUAAAAAUAAACACUGCAGAGCCAGACACAGUGGCUCAGGCCUGUAAUCUUAGCAUUUUGGGAGGCCAAGGCAGGUGGAUCACUUGAGGCCAGGAGUUCAAGACCAGCCUGGCCAACAUGGCAAAAGCCAUCUCUACUAAAAAUAUAAAAAUUAGCAGGGCAUGGUGGCAUCGGCCUGUAAUCCCAGCUACCUGGGAGGCCGAGGCAUGAGAAUCGCUUGAACCUGGGAAGCGGAGGUUGCAGUGAGCCGAGAUCAUGCCACCACACUCCAGCCUGGGCAACAGAGCGAGACUCUGUCUCAAAAUAAAAUAAAAUAAAAUAAUAAGUAAACCCUGCAGAAUCUGAGAGAACAGAGCUCUCGAUGUGGGGGUCUGAUCAGUUUUCCAAGCGUCAACAGACUGGUCCUUCCUAGGAUGCGUGUUUCUUCUGCGGUCGUGUUUACACAUUGGUUUCUGGCAAGAGCAAAGUGUUUGCUUGUGACCUUAAAUAAAAUGCAGACAUCACCUCACUGAGUCUCAUCAAAAGCAGAACUUGUCCUCUCAUUCAUCUUUGUCAGACCAGCAGGAGCAGCCAGGCUAGGUCAUCCAGGGUGACAGUCUCCUUCUCCAUGGAGGUGAAGAUUUCAUCCUGCAUUCUGCUAAUCGGGCUUGGGCCCGCCUUAACCCUGUGAGUGGUUAACACUCC